rnacentral:rRNA from 1 species
GUCUAUGGCCAUGCCACCCUGAACAAGCCCGAUCCCGUCUGAUCUUGGAAGCUAAGCAGGGUCGGGCCUGGUUAGUACUUGGAUGGGAGACCACCUAGGAAGACCAGGUGCUGCAGGCA